CCUACGGGUGGCAGCAGUGAGGAAUAUUGGUCAAUGGGCGCGAGCCUGAACCAGCCAAGUAGCGUGAAGGAUGACUGCCCUACGGGUUGUAAACUUCUUUUAUAAAGGAAUAAAGUGAGGCACGUGUGCCUUUUUGUAUGUACUUUAUGAAUAAGGAUCGGCUAACUCCGUGCCAGCCGCCGCGGUAAUACGGAGGAUCCGAGCGUUAUCCGGAUUUAUUGGGUUUAAAGGGAGCGUAGAUGGGUUUUUAAGUCAGUUGUGAAAGUUUGCGGCUCAACCGUAAAAUGGCAAUUGAUACUGGCAGUCUUGAGUACAGUUGAGGUAUGCGGAAUGCGUGGUGUAGCGGUGAAAUGCUUAGAUAUCACGCAGAACUCCGAUUGCGAAGGCAGCUUACCAAACCGCCACUGACAUUGAUGCUCGAAAGUGUGGGUAUCGAACAGGAUUAGAUACCCCAGUAGUC
rnacentral:rRNA from 1 species